rnacentral:rRNA from 1 species
UACGAAGGGUGCUAGCGUUGUUCGGAAUCACUGGGCGUAAAGCGCGCGUAGGCGGCUUUUCAAGUCAGGGGUGAAAUGCCAAGGCUUAACCUUGGAACUGCCUUUGAAACUGUAAAGCUGGAGUGUCGGAGGGGAUAGCGGAAUUCCUAAUGUAGUGGUGAAAUACGUAGAUAUUAGGAGGAACACCGAUGGCGAAGGCAGGUCUCUGGGCUGACACUGACGCUCAUGCACGAAAGCGUGGGGAGCAAACAGG